AGAACCCCGGCGAGGGGAGUGAAAAAGAACCUGAAACCGUGUACGUACAAGCAGUGGGAGCCCCACCACUAAGCCAGUGGUGAACUCCACAUACGCAUCCUUUGCUGAGGAUACGGUUAACGGAGCGAAAGCGACGUUCAACCGCAAAAGAAGCAGAGGGGGCUUAGUGGUGGGGUGACUGCGUACCUUUUGUAUAAUGGGUCAGCGACUUAUAUUCUGUAGCAAGGUUAACCGAAUAGGGGAGCCGGAGGGAAA
rnacentral:rRNA from 1 species